rnacentral:rRNA from 1 species
GAGCUUGCUCCUUGGGUGACGAGUGGCGGACGGGUGAGUAAUGUCUGGGGAUCUGCCCGAUAGAGGGGGAUAACCACUGGAAACGGUGGCUAAUACCGCAUAACGUCGCAAGACCAAAGAGGGGGACCUUCGGGCCUCUCACUAUCGGAUGAACCCAGAUGGGAUUAGCUAGUAGGCGGGGUAAUGGCCCACCUAGGCGACGAUCCCUAGCUGGUCUGAGAGGAUGACCAGCCACACUGGAACUGAGACACGGUCCAGACUCCUACGGGAGGCAGCAGUGGGGAAUAUUGCACAAUGGGCGCAAGCCUGAUGCAGCCAUGCCGCGUGUAUGAAGAAGGCCUUCGGGUUGUAAAGUACUUUCAGCGGGGAGGAAGGCGGUGAGGUUAAUAACCUCGCCGAUUGACGUUACCCGCAGAAGAAGCACCGGCUAACUCCGUGCCAGCAGCCGCGGUAAUACGGAGGGUGCAAGCGUUAAUCGGAAUUACUGGGCGUAAAGCGCACGCAGGCGGUCUGUUAAGUCAGAUGUGAAAUCCCCGGGCUUAACCUGGGAACUGCAUUUGAAACUGGCAGGCUUGAGUCUCGUAGAGGGGGGUAGAAUUCCAGGUGUAGCGGUGAAAUGCGUAGAGAUCUGGAGGAAUACCGGUGGCGAAGGCGGCC